UACGGGGGGGCGAAGCGUUGUUCGGAAUUACUGGGCGUAAAGGGUUCGUAGGUGGCCCGCUAAGUCACACGUGAAAUCCCUCAGCUUAACUGGGGAACUGCGUGUGAGACUGGCGGGCUUGAGUGCAGGAGAGGAACGCGGAAUUCCAGGUGUAGCGGUGAAAUGCGUAGAUAUCGAGAGGAACACCUGCGGCGAAGGCGGGUUGCUGGGCUGACACUGACGCUGAGGCGCGAAAGCUAGGGGAGCGAACGGG
rnacentral:rRNA from 1 species